rnacentral:rRNA from 1 species
UACAGAGGGUGCAAGCGUCAAUCGGAAUUACUGGGCGUAAAGCGCGCGUAGGUGGUUUGUUAAGUUGGAUGUGAAAUCCCCGGGCUCAACCUGGGAACUGCAUCCAAAACUGGCAAGCUAGAGUAUGGUAGAGGGUGGUGGAAUUUCCUGUGUAGCGGUGAAAUGCGUAGAUAUAGGAAGGAACACCAGUGGCGAAGGCGACCACCUGGACUGAUACUGACACUGAGGUGCGAAAGCGUGGGGAGCAAACAGG